CACCGUAAAUAUGAGUAUGAGUAAAAUAUGCCCUAUGCCCAAGCGGUUACACAGUUUGAUACUGCUGUAUUAAUUGUAUUUAUUUUAAUAAAUUGUUUUUUAUUGAACAACUGACUUUAGAGACCAAUUCUAUAAAUAAUUGAUGUUUGAAUGAAUAGUCGGGAAAUAGAAUUUAAAUAAUAUUUGUAUAUUUUAGAUAAAGAUGUUAAUAACCCAGGCUGACAGUGUAUCUACAAUGAUGCACUGUUGCACUGGUUUACAUUACAGAAUUUUGUCUUGUUAACUUCCUAUUGUUAAUAUAUCUCUACAUUAUCAAAUUGAUACUUCAAGGUUCCUACCUGUACAGUUACAACUAUAAUGGAUGAAGCUGAAACCCUAAGUGCCCUUAAAAUCAUGCAGAUUGAUCAAUCUGUUGAAAUACCACAUAGUAAAGCCACAGUAGUCAGGGCAGAGGUGUUUACUUGUGCUUGGAAUCCUAGCUCAGAUGUAUAUUAGCAAGUAGUUCUGAAGACAGAACAGCCAGGGUGACAGCACAACUAUUGCACACUGCUGGGACGCAGCUUCAGGUCAAUGCACAAAACAAUUCCACUUCCAUAGAGCACUAGUACAAGAUGUAGAUUGGCAUUAGUACAUAAUUGGAUUGUCAUUUGCAUCUUGUUCAAUGGACCAGAGCAUCCUAGUGUGUAAAGUGAAUGUUGAUAAGACUUUGUAAAGUCACGCAAAUGAAGUUAACACUGUCAAAUUAUUUGGUCUAUGAACAAGAUACCGACUUACAGCUCAUUCUAAGAAUUAUACACCACAAAAGUGAUCACCAACUGGACCACAGCCUCAGAAUCCUAACAUGAAUUUAACAAUUGCCGCUUUGGAUUUCACUGUGCAUCUUUGAUGGAAAGUUCUUGGCAAGUUUGAUAGAUUUGUUUAUAUUUGGUCCAAACAAAUGGGAUCUCUUUUUCAAGGGAACUGGGAUUAUUUUCAAGGUUUCUUAGAAUUCAAAAGGCAUUAAGGUUGGUGCAAGAGGAUCUCAUCUCACAACAACUCAUCUGAAAAAAGAAGAAGCAACAUAUGUAUUUCGCUACGAAGAAACAAUAGAAAUAGAAUAUGGAUUGAUAAAUAAAAAGUUAAGAGAUUUACAUUUAACACAGUACUAGCAAUUAAAAUACAAUGUGAAAAAAACAGAUUAGUGUGAACACUGAAAUGAUGAAAUAAGAGUCGGUUUUAUAAGUGAUUUGAUACUAUUUUGAAUCCCCUAAUUUAAUAGGUAAAGCUAUUGAAGUGGCAAUGACACAUUACUCUUUUACCUGUAGCAAUAUUCUGGUGAAAUAGACGAAUAUUGUAAUUCUGAACGCCUAUACGUAUGGCCUGUACCUACUAAUAGUUAGGAAUUAAUUUAUAUUUAACAUACCUUUGUUGAUUAUGUUCCUUGAUAUAUAUAUAUAUAGGUAUACAAUACAAACAUUACUACUGAACAUAUACAGGUGUAUCAAAUGAAAUGCAUUAUUAAUGUAGAUAUAUUUAUUUAUAUAGUUAGACCCCUAAAAUCAUUAUUAACUAAAAAACGUAGUGUUAACGGACAGCAAUAAAACUUAAUAUCUUGUUUAUGCUGUUCUACAAAAUAGUUCAAUUCAUACAACCUAACAUUAGAUCUUUAAUUUUAUAAAAUUGUUUAGGUAAUUUGUAAGGUUAUACACCUGCAUGCAUUCAAUACAUAGCAUAGAACAAGUUCUCCAAUUACUAUAACAGGAUACAUUCUGGGCCAUUUAAAAAAAAUAGUUAUUGUAAAGAUAUAAUUCAUCCCAAAAUCUACAAAUACAUUUUUAAAAUAAAUAUUUCAUUCAUGUAAAAACUGCUCAACUUAUUAAGAUUAAAUUUGGCAGUACAUAGUUUGAGUU